rnacentral:lncRNA from 1 species
GUCGAUAGCAAUACAGCAUUGACGCAACACUAUUUGUUAUGCAUGUACUGUAAUGUACUGAGCUGUUAAUGGAGAAUUAUUUCCUCUCCCUUUCUGACAGAUUGCAGAACUGUUCAUUGAUGAGAAGAAUUAUGAGAAGGCACUGAAGUUCAUUCAAGCGGAGAAGAUGUUCUAUGAAGUGGCAUUGAUCGAGCUCACUGCUCUGCAGGGAAGCACAGCAGGCUCUCUGGAGGAUGGUUCACUAGGCUCUCCAGGAUGGCUCUCUCAGGAGGAGUUAUCAGAGCAGGCCUCGCAGGCCCAGGAUCUUGAAAGACUGGCCCAGCUUUGCAUCAUGAGCAAAAGACCCCAUCUGGCUUUAGAGUACAGUGGCAAGGCCACAAAAAUACACCAGCGGGCAUUCGGUAAUGAUCACCCAAUCACAGCCAGGAGUCUGGAGCUUCUGGCCACUGUCUAUGCUGAGAUUGGCAAGACAGAAUAUUCAGACUCGUUGGGUCAGUGUGUGUCAGCUCUGUCAAAGAGGUUCUCUGCCGCCGAGUCGUACAGCAACACACUCAACGGUUUCACUCACAGCCAUAAGGACAGACACACAGAGCUCCGGCACAGGAAAGAACCACAUCCAUCAACAGACACUCCAAAACCAAAGGUCAUCAAUGGUAAGAUUCCCACAUCCAUCCUGAAAAGGACCAAUGUAGGUGGCAGUGAGUCAGAUCCGACCCACCGGCGAAAAACAGAGAGACGGGUUCGUUUUAGAGAGCCAGAGAUCAUUGUACACGAUAUUCCAUACUAUGACUGUUUAGGAGCCUAUGACUCCUCCCAGAGCCGGCCAUAUCUAGCCCUGCUGACCUGCCUGUUCCUGCUGCUUUCUGCACUGGGCUUUGCCCUGUACUGCACUGACCGCCGGCGGCCACACCGUGCCUGUGAGGAACUGCAGGCAGCGCUGGCCGUCUACCUGCUGCAGCUCAAGCAAAUCCUGUGGGGCUGCUGGAUCUGGCUCACCAUGCAGUGA